UUCCUUUUUAUAUGUCAUAGAGAUGCAGUUCUUUUCUUAACUUUCUCGAUCCCCCGGUGCUUUUCAAUUGUUAACUUUAUUCUCAUUUUGCCUGUCAUUUGUUUUGUUUCCCCUUUCUGUCACACUUUGCUAAUUGGCUGUUCAAACUUUCGAAGCACAAUGUUCCUCUCUUCAUGCAAUAAUUAGAUCUGAAGAUUAUAAAAAGCCUGUGUAUUUCCAAGAUUGAUGAUCAAAUGAAUUGCCCAUUUCAGGUCAUAUAACGCAACUGUUUACAUCGGACAGCCACCAAAGCCUUACUUUCUUGAUCCUGACACUGGUAGUGACCUGACUUGGCUCCAAUGUAAAGUCCGUGGUGCACGAUGUACCCCGGUAAAUUUUAAUAGUUUUAAGGUGUCGUAUUGACUUGUUUCUCAAACCUAUGAAUUCUGGAUGGUAAUCCUAAAACUUCGCUUGGAUGUUGUUUUGAAAGGUCUCAUGAUGUUAUGUGAGGCGAUAAGUCCUAAUAACUUUCCACUAUUUUCUUAUUGCAUACACCACAUCCGCUUUAUCCACCCAGCGAUGAGCUAGUAGAUAGCAGUGACCCAAUUUGCAGGUCCUUGCAGUCGGGUGACUACAAAAGUGACUGCGUGGAGCGAUGUGGCUACGAGGUUCAGUAUGCAGAUGGUGGCUCUUCUCGUGGUUUCCUCGUAAAGGAUGACGUUCAUUUCGAGUCCAACUGCGGCAGGGUUCUUAGUCCUCGUGUCGCCCUCAGGUAGGUAACUUCACAUGCUCUCCCAAUUAUGCUUGGCCACGCCUGCUGAGUCAAUUUUGCCUAUUUAACCAUUUAUCAUGUGCUGAUAGUUCCUCUACAGAUGCGGAUAUAAUCAGAUACCCGGUCAGUACCUUCCUUACUUAGACGGAGUGCUCGGGCUCGGUAAGGGAAGGUCCAGCCUCGUUUCACAGCUAAGUAGUCAAGAAUUGGUGGCGAACGUACUAGGUCACUGCUUGAGUACGCGUGGUGGUGGAUUUCUCUUCUUCGGUGAUGAUCUUUAUGACUCCUCCCGCAUCUCGUGGACGCCUAUGUCUCGCGACCCGUAAAUUCUCUGUUCCUCCACUUUUUCACCAUCUCAAUAUCCCUCAUCUCUCAUUUACUAAAAUUGAACUUUGUUAUAUUUAUCUCAGAAAGCACUAUUCUCCUGGGACCGCGGAGCUCCUUUUUGCGAGGAAACCUACUGGACAGAAAAAUCUGUUGCUUGUUUUCGAUAGCGGGAGCACUUAUACAUACUUCAGUUCUAAGGCAUAUCGAGCCUUAUCUUUAAGUGUGAGUUAGAGGCAAUUGUGAACUAGUAUGUGAAAAUCUGGGAAAAAAUGCAACAUCACACUUAGUGUGUCACUAUUUACGUCCAAACAUAUCACCAUCUUUCCAGGAUUUUCAGUUGUGCUCGAGUUUUCUUGAGUACUAAUGCCUAUUAAGUUUGAGAAGUAACAACUUUCAUUAAAAAAAAAAAAUGAGAGAUAAAACCAUAAAAAACUUACUCUUCUCUUUCAGGUGGACGAAGAACUACGCCGAAAGCACUUCACCGAAGCAGUAGACGACCGCACGCUCCCACUCUGCUGGAAAGGCCGGAAGCCUUUCAAAAACAUCGGUGACGUCACAAAGUACUUCAAACCCUUUGCACUCAGCUUUGCACUCAGCUUUAAUAGCGGUGGAAGAGCCCAAAACCAAUUUGAAGUUCCCCCCGAAUCAUAUUUGAUUAUAUCGGUGCGUCAAUGCCGUCAUCCAUCAAAACUCUGGCAAGUUAGAUAUGUACGUUUUUUGCUAACUGCAAUGGUUUUGACAGGACAAGGGAAAUGUCUGCAUGGGAGUUUUAAACGGAACUGAAGUAGGGUUCCAAAAUGUGAAUGUGAUUGGAGGUAAGAAUCUUCCAUAUGGUGGCAUUUUUAUCACGGAAUUAGUUUCGCACCUGAGACAUUCUCAUGGAAAAUUUGAAGAGGAAGGAAAUCAUUAAAUAUAUGAUUAGACAACAAUAAAAUGUCCUCGGAGAUCACAUCCAUUCAGAUGUGCUGCACUAUUGCGGUGAAGUAGAUUUAUUUCAUUUAAUUUUGUAUCUACCCUCGUUUGUCGGUUUUGCAGACACAUCGAUGCAGGACAAGAUGGUGAUCUACGACAACGGGAGACAAUUGCUGGGAUGGGAAUCUAAAGAUUGCAGUCAACUUCCAAAUUCCAGAGCAUUCGCAGCCUAAUUGACAAGAAGCUCGUCACCAUAUCUCUGUACUUCCAUAUCAGAAUCAUGGAAGCCCUGCGCUUCAAACUAAGCCUUCGCCUAAGAAGCUUAUUAUUGCCAAAUCACUUGUAAAUAAGCCAUGACUCAUGCUUUCCUUCGUCCUACUGUACUGGAUGUUAUGUGUACAGCAAAAUUGCUUACGGGUAUGUCCCAAGCCAAUUCAAUUACAGCCACGCUUAAUAAGUACUGCCAUAUUGAGAAUCAGUAGAAACCGAUCCUUAUUCACACUCCAGCUUCUUGUUCAUCCCAUUAUUCCAGAUUUUAUUUACCUUCCAUUGAGUGAAACUCAAGCCUAGAGGCAUAUUCCACCACAAGAGCCGAAGAGUUUCCAAGUUGAAUCGAAAAGCUAGACUCAUCAACUGCAAAUACAUUUGCAAUAUUGUCUCUCUUAUUCAAAUGCCAUUCUGAUUGGUUAGGGUAUGUGAUAUUCCUAGAUUCAUCACUACGUCAACAGUAAGACUUGUACUAACACAUUAGUACAAUCAGGAGAACUAAUUGUCUAGAUCAGUCUCUUAAUUCUACAAAUCAUAAGUGACAUCUAGUAAUAUAUCAUGGCUAUCUAGACAGAGUGAAAUGUUUCAAGAAUAUAAUGAAAUUGUCGGCUUUGGCGAUCGUGUAAUUCGAUCAUUCUAUUUUACCAUGUCCCAAUUGAAAAAAGGCCAUAGAAUUAUUAAUCAAGUCACCAAUUCAAUCAUAUGCACAAAUCUAAUUAACAUGUAUUUAUUCGAAACAUGAACCAUUCAUUCUUGGUUAUAACCCCAACUGAGGAUUUCAAUGUAAUGUCACAAUUAGAUCACAUAAGAUAUCAAUCUUAUAUAUCUACAUAUAACAAAAAGAUAGAUUCUAUAUUGCAUAUGCAUGUGCCUUCGUAUGUGAACAAACUAUGACUAUCAAGCACAGAGAUGGUCUAACGCAGCAUCAAUAUGUGUACUUGUAAACCACAGCCAUCAAAUAUGUAAGUCAACAUUAGGUCUAAGGAUCUUACAUCCUACCAAAGCGUGAAUAAUCAAACAUUGACAUCACUAAAAACUUCAAUAUUACCAAUCAUUAUAUACAUAUCACGUUCAGUGAACUUGUUCAAGACAAACACCUUUAUUCUAGCUUAGAUACCACAAUCUCCAAUGAUUUAUCGAUCAUGAAUUGUUUAAAGAUUCAUCAUGACUGUAAACUAAUCACACAUAUUCUUAACACAUUAAGAAUAGGUUCAGUUGUAAUCGAUUUUAUGGAUUCAUUCAUAUAAAUAAUACGAUGAAUGAAUAUUUAUUUAUCAUUAAAUAAUCCCUAACGUGUAACUAUUACAUAAUUACUUUAGGGCAUAUGGUUAACAUUUUGUUCAUUCUUUGAUGUGUUCAAUUUUAUGGACUCCAAUAUCUUCAUGCACUAAAUGUCUACAAACUAUUGUAUCACAUUUCAUGCUAUUCCUACUCUAUCUAAAUAACGAGAUGCACAUUGUUUUGAAGGUUUAGUAAAUCCUGGAAGAUAACCUCGACAUGUCUUCUAAACCUUAUGAAUGAUGGAAACUGUCAAUUAGAAUUAGUAUUCGUAAGCAUUAGAUAUUUGAAAAUUUCGCAUUUAUAUACGAUAGUCGUCCAGAUUUUACAGCAAAUCCCUCAUUAUUAUGAUUUGACGCCUAUGUAGAGCUAUUCACGUCACUAAACUAAAUUUUAUCAGGCUCAUAAAAAAUGAACAUUUAUUUCCACAUAAGUUUUCGCUUUUCCCCUUUUUCCAACCCCAUAACAUGGGUUGUCCUUUUUGAGGAAAGUUCCUCGAAAUUCCCAGAUGGACUCAUUGCUGGGUCCCACUUCAGAUUUCUUUCGUCUACCUUGGCAAUUUUCCACAUUCAAUAGCCAAAGUAAAUAAAAGGAAAAAGGAAAAAAGAAAAAAAGGGGUAAACCUUCCUCAUCUUUUUCAUCAUCAUCGUACCUCAAUCAUCAAGAAGACAGAAUCCUUUCUGGAGCAGAUAACAAGAUUAACGAACCCAAUUUGCCAACGCAAGGAAUAAGAAUAACCCAGAAAUUAAAGUAAAGAACCUGCUCCGAGAUUUCCACCCAUUAGAAGGAAUACCAUUUCUAACUCCUUCGAAUUACCUAACGACAGGGAACACAAGAGAACGUCAGUAAAAUUCCUCCCCCCCGAUCUGCAGACCCCCAUCUCCCAAGCUAUUCUAAUUCGAAAUCCGUGGCUCCCAAGCUAGACAUCAGCAUAAAUCCUCGCCAAUCAUUCGCUCCAUCAUGCAAGAAACCCGCCCUAUAAUUGCCCUCGACCUGGUCUUUCUGCUGCUGGGUCUAAAUAAUCGGACAAGAACAGGACGGGUUUGAGUUUCGCCAAGAACAUAUCGUUCUUGCUCAUUCGUCAGUUGUAAUAUAGAGAGAGAAAGAGAAACGCAGAGAGAAUGGGGAAAGAGAAAGUGGGUUUGGUGGCGUUGGUGUUAAUUGUGUCGAGCUGGGCUGUUUCAUCCGCCCCCUCUUCUCCUUCUUUCAGAGGUGAUCUGAGCAGAGGGAAAGCGUCUUUGACUUUCGGGUCGGCGUCGUCGUCGCUGGUUCUCAAUCGGGUCGGGUCAUCCGUUGUCCUUCCACUCGACGGCAAUGUUCAUCCAAUUGGGUACAUUUCUUGAUUUGUCUUCACUUCAGUUCAGCGUUUCAUUUAUUAGUCGGAGAGAGAGAGAGAUAGGUGAUGCACCUACACUUUUGCUCCUUCAAUGAAUUCUUUAAUACCUAUGUAACGCUCUGUACUGCUGUUGACGUCUAGAAAGUAUGGGUCAUCUCUCACUAUCCAAGUGGGCAUUUAGUAAUCAUUUUAUUUUUAAAAAUAAUUUUUGUUUAAAAAUAAUUUUUUUUAUGACCUUAGAACUACGUACAGCCGGCGGCACAAACCAGGGGAGCACUAGCGCGGGGUCCACCUCCCAUGGCACUCCACUUUAGUCACGCAAAUGGGGGCGCGGAGUUUUGAACCCCUCCUCUCCCGGAUGAGAGGGUAGGGCGCAAACCAAUGCAUCUACCACGGGGUGGGUUAGAAAUAAAAUUUUUUUAUCUUUACUCCUGAGAAUAAUUUUUGAAUUUUUAAAGGCCCUUGGUAAAUACCCACAAUUUUUAUUUCCGUAAUGAACAUGCGUUUAAUAUGACUCUUAAUUUUUUUUAUUUCUUUUAAUUUUUUAAUACAUCUAUCAUCCGUGGCUAGCGACCGGUUUGGCGAGCUUGCUAGAGCCUCAAUAGGCCAGGGCGAGAUUUAGUGAGCUUGUCGGAGGCUCAUUUGGCCACCGCGAGCCUCGAACUCACAAAUCUGGGCAAGGCUCAACCUUGCCCAUGCAACACAAGAUCGGCCCAACCUCGCGUUAGCUAGCAAGGCUAAGCCUAACCAUGACUGGGCGAGGUCAACCUUGCUGAUGGCUAAGUGAGGCUGAGCCUCGCCAUGGCUUGGUGUCAUAAGAGGGCCGGCGACUAGCCAAAAGGAAGAAGAAAGAGAAAAGGACCGAGAGGAGAAGAGAAAAGACUGAGAAUUAGACUUGAUUCUAGGAAUUGUUCCUAAGAACCGUAGCAACUUUUUUCUACUUCUUAAUUAUGUUCCAAAUCUAUUCUUAGGAACAAAAAAAAAAAUGAAUUUUUGUUUUCGAGAACAAACAUUUACCAAAUGGAUUUUUAUUAUUUUUUUACUGUGUUGGAUUGCUAUUUCGUUGGUAUGAUGACCUGAAGAUUCAUCCAAUCCAAUGUAAUGGUGACUUAUGUCUCCCUAAGUGGUAACCGUAGAUGCUAUUAUCACCCCCGUUUAGGAAUUCUUGAAGUUUCGAUAUGUUGAUCAUCAAACUAAAUAUUUCAUGCCAAGGGAUAAUUGCUCGGGAGAUUCCAUAUGGUUACCAUCACAUUGAAGCGGACCUUUCGCAAGGGAAAGUUGUUUUUUGUUUUUUUAAUAUGUUUCCAUACAAUUCCUUUCUAUAUGUCAUAGAGAUGCAGUGCUUUUCUUGACUUUCUCGAUCCCCCGGUGUUUCUUAAUUGUUAACUUUAUUCUCACCUUGCCUCUCAUUCGUUUUGUUUCCCUUUUCUGUCACACUUUGCUAAUUGGCUAUUCAAUCUUUCGAAGCAUGAUGCUCCUCUCUUCAUGCAAUAAUUAGAUCUGAAGAUUAUAAAAGCUUGUGUAUUUCCAAGAUUGAUGAUCAAGUAAACUGCCCAUUUUAGGUCAUAUAACGCAACUGUCUACGUCGGGCAGCCGCCAAAGCCUUACUUUCUUGAUCCCGACACUGGUAGUGACCUGACUUGGCUCCAAUGUGAUGUCCCUGGUGCACAUUGUACCCCGGUAAAUUUUAAUACUUUUUAGGUGUCGUAUUGACUUGUUUCUCAAACCUAUGAAUUUUGGACGGUAAUCCUAAAACUUCGCUCUGAUGUUUGUUUUGGACGGUCUCGUGAUGUUAUGCGGGGCGAUAAGUCCUGAUAACUUUCCACCAUUUUCUUAUUGCAGACACCACAUCCACGUUAUCCACCCAGCCCUGACAUAGUAGAUUGCAGUGACCCAAUUUGCGCGUCCCUGCAUUCAGGCGACUACAGAUGUGACCACCCAGAGCAAUGUGACUACGAGGUGGAGUAUGCAGAUGGCGGCUCUUCUCUUGGUGCACUUGUAAAGGAUGUCGUUUCUUUCAGGUCCUACAGCAGCAGCAGGGUUCUUAGUGCUCGUGUCGCCCUUGGGUAGGUGAAUUCACAUGCUCUCCCAAUUAUGUUUGGCCAGGCUUACUGACUAUACCAACUCAGCAUUUUAUGAUACCAUACUUUCUUUUGGCCAGACAGGAAAUUCUUCAUUUAUGUCAAGAGCCUGCUCAGAUCAAUUUUGCCUAUUUAACCAUUUAUCAUGUGCUAAUGGUUCCUCUACAGAUGUGGAUAUGAUCAGAAACCAAGUCCGUACAACGUUCCUUUCUUAGACGGAGUGCUCGGGCUCGGUAAGGGAAGGUCCAGCAUCGUAUCACAGCUAAGUAGUCGAGGUUUGGUGGCGAACGUACUAGGCCACUGCUUGAGUACGCGUGGUGGUGGAUUUCUCUUCUUCGGUGAUGAUCUUUAUGACUCCUCCCGCAUCUCGUGGACGCCUAUGUCUCGUGAUUACCCGUAUGUUCUCUGUUCUUCCACUUUUUCACCAUCUCAAUGUCUCUCAUCUCUCAUCUACUAAAAUUGAACUUUGUUAUAUUUAUCUCAGAAAGCACUAUUCUCCUGAGACCGCGGAGCUCCUUUUUGCGGGGAAACCUACUGGACAGAAAAAUUUGUUGCUAGUUUUUGAUAGCGCGAGCACUUAUACUUACUUCAGUUCUGAGGCAUAUCGAGCCUUAUCUUUGAGGGUGAGUUAGAGGCGAUUGUGAACUAGUAUGUGAAAAUUUGGGACAAAAAGCAACAUCACACUUACUGUGUCACUAUUUACAUCCAAACAUAUUUACCAUCUUUCCAGUAUUUUCAGUUGUGCCCGAGUUUUCUUGAGUUCUAAUACCUUUCAUAAAAAAAAUAAAAAAAUAAAAAGGAAAAUUGAGAGAUGACAGCAUAAAAACUUCUCUCCUUUCAGGUGACAAAUGAACUGGAAAAACUAAGCGGAAAGCCCUUCACCGAAAUACGCGACCCCGAGCUCCCACUCUGCUGGAAAGGCAGGCAGUCUUUCAAAAACAUCCGUGAAGUCAGGAAGUACUUCAAACCCUUUGCACUCACCUUUAAUAGCGGUAAAAGAACCAAAACCCAAUUUGAAGUUCCCCCCGAAUCAUAUUUGAUUAUAUCGGUGAGUGAAUGCCUUCAUCUAUCGAAACUCUGGCAAGUUAGAUAUGUACGUUUUUUGUUAACUGCAAUGGUUUUGACAGAAAAUGGGAAAUGUCUGCAUGGGAGUUUUAAAUGGAACUCAAGAAAAACUCGGAGAUACGAAUGUGAUUGGAGGUAAGAGUCUUCCAUAUGGUGGCAUUUUCAUCACGGAAUUAGUUUCGCACCUGAGACAUUGUCAUUGAAAAUUUGAAAAGGAAGGAAAUCAUCAAAAAUAUGGUUAGACAACAAUAAAAUGUCCUUGGAGAUCAUAUCCUUUCAAAUGUACUGCACUAUUGCGGUGAAGCAGAUUUAUUUAAUUUAAUUUUGUAUCUGCCCUUGUUUGUCGGUUUGCAGACAUAUCAAUGCAGGACAAGAUGGUGAUCUACGACAAUGCUAACCAUUGUCUGGGAUGGGCUUCUGAAGAUUGCAGUCAGCUUCCAAAGUCCAGAGCAUUUGCAGCCUAAUUGACAAGAAGCUCCUCAUCGUAUCUCUGUACUUCCAGAUUAAAAUCAUGGAAAUGCUGGGCUUCAAAUCAAGCCUUCUCCUAAGAAGCUUAUCAUAGCCAAGUCACUUGUAAAAUAAGCCAUGACUAAUGUUUUUUCCUUUGUCUUACUGGACUGGAUGUUAUGUGUACAAUAAAAUUGCUUACGGGUACACCCGAAGCCAAUUCAAUUACAGCCACGCUUAAUAAGUAUUGCAAUGCUGAGAAUCAGUAGAAACCGAUCCUUAUUCACACUCCAGCUUCUUGUUCAGCCUAGUAUUUCAGAUUUUAUUUACCUUAUUGACACAUAAAUUUCACAUAAAUUAAUUAAUUUAAAGUAGUGUUAAAGGUUAGGAAUUAGUCACAAAAAGGGGUUAUUAUUAAAAAAAAAGAGUUAAAAAAAUUUCGAAAAAAAAAAACCAAACGAAAAUGGUCGGGUUGGGCCGGAUUCGACCUUGGCCCGACCCGCCCCUCUCUUUUUCUUCCCCUCGCACUGGGCCUGGCCCAAUCUCCUUUCUCUUUCAGCGUUUCUAUUUAGAGCUAUUUACGUCGCUAAACUAAAUUUUAUCAGGCUCAUAAAAAAUGAACAUUUAUUCCCACAUAAGUUUUCGCUUUUCCCCUUUUUCCAACCCCAUAACAUGGGUUGUCCUUUUUGAGGAAAGUUCCUCGAAAUUCCCAGAUUGACUCAUUGCUGGGUCCCACUUCAGAUUUCUUUCGUCUACCUUGACAAAAAUAAAUAAAACGAAAAAGGAAAAAAGAAAAAAGGGUAAACCUUCCUCAUCUUUUUGAUCAUCAUCGUACCUCAAUCAACAAGAAGACAGAGGGUGCGUUUGGGAACCACUUCCCAAAGCCCCUUUGAAGCCUAAAGGUACUUGGCCAAAUGCUAGGCCGUUUGGGAAAAAAAUUUGAGCCCGCAUUCAGGGAAUGCCAGCAUGUGUGAAGCCGAAAGCCCAAGGCAGGGGGGGACCUGCCUUGGGCUUUCGGCUUUUUCGGCAUGCCCACACGGGCACUGUUCAUAACUUUUUUUUUCCGAAAUUGUCCUCACGAAUGUUUUGUUUUUCCGGUUCUUGCCCUUGUGUCGCAACUGUUCAUCUUCUCUGGGGGAUUCGGUUCCGGCUGACUGUGAGCGGCCGGCGACUGCUAGAGGGACGCCGGCGAUCGUCGGGGGGUGGCGCGACCGACGCCGGAGAUGGCGCAACCGACGCCGGAGGUGGCGCGACCGAGGGCUGGGUCACCGCAAACCCAGAUCUGGGGCGGCAGACGGUCUUCUCCUUCCGCGAGCUUCUUCUUCCGCGAGCGGUCGCCGGCGACCGUCGCCCAGACGAGCGACGCCAGGCGGUGGCGCGACCGCCGCGACCCACGGCAAGGUCUGGGUCACCGCGACCCAGAUCUGGGGCGGCAGGGUCGCGGGAGGACCUUGCCGCCCACGAUUUGGGUUGCGCGACCUCGCGGCCCUCGGAUCUGGGUCGCGGCGGCGUCGCGCGACCUCCUGCGACCUCGCCGCCCCAGUUCCGAGGGCGGCGCGGUCGCGCGACCCCGCCGCGACCUAGAUCCGGGGCGGCGAGGUCCUCCCGCGACCUCGCUGCCCCAGAUCCGGCGUCGCCGGAGGUCGCCGGAGGUCGCGACGGCGUCGCGCGACCUCGCUGCCCCAGAUCCGGCGUCACCGGAGGUCGCCGGAGGUCGCCGGAGGUCGCCGAAGGUCGCCGGCGGCCACUCUGCCCUUUUGGUCAAUUUUUUUUAAUUUUUCUUUUGAUAAUUUUUUUUUUACCACAAAGAUCUUUUGCAAGUGUAAUUUCCCAAACGCUAUUUUGCUCAAAAUACUUUACAAAGAGCUUUCAAAGUGUAAUUUACCAAACAUGGUUGCAUUUUGGAAAACACCUUUAAGUCAAAGGUAUUUGCAUUUUCCUAAAGACAUUCCCCAAAAGUAGUUCCCAAACGCACCCAGAAUCCUUUCUGGGGCAGAUAACGAGACUAACGACCCCAAUUUGCCAACGCAAGGAAUAAGCAUAACCCAGAAAUUAAAGAAAAGAACCUGGUCGAAGAUUUCCACCCAUUAGAAGGAAUACCAUUUCUAACCCCUUCGAAUUACCAAAACGACAGGGAACACAAGAGACGUCAUUUAAAUUCCUCCCCCCCGACCUGCAGACCCCCAUCUCCCAAGCUAUUCCAAUUCGAAAUCCGUGGCUCACAAGCUAGACAUCAGCAUAAAUCCUCGCCAAUCUUUGGCUCCACAUGCAAGAAACCCGCCCUAUUAUUGCCCUUGACCUGGUCUUUCUGCGGCUGUGUCUGAAUAAUCGGACAAGAACUGGGAGGGGUUUGAGUUUCACCAAGAACGUAUCGUUCUUGCUCAUUCGUCCGUUGUAAUACAGAGAGAGAGAGAGAGAGAGUGUGUGGAAAGAGAAAGUGGGUUGGGUGGCGUUGCUGAUAAUUGUGUCGAGCUGGUGUGUAUCGUCGUCCUCCCACUCCUCUUCUUCUUCUUUCAGAGGUGAUCUGAGCAGACGCAAAGCACCUUUGACUUUUGGGUCGGCGUCGGCGUCGUCGCUGGUUCUCAAUCGGGUCAGGUCAUCCGUUGUCCUGCCACUCCACGGGAAUGUUUUCCCAAUUGGGUACACUUCUUGACCUGUCUUCACUUCAGUUCAGCGUUUCAUUUAUUAGUCAGAGAGAGAGAGGUGAUGUACCUGCAGUUUGGCUUGUUCAAUGAAUUCGUGAAUACCUUUGUGACUCUCCGUUGUGCUGUUGACGUUUAGAAAGCGUGGGUCAUCUCUCACUAUUUAAGGAUCUAUUUAAUAACGCUUCUAUUUCGAAAAAUAAUUUAUUUUCAGAGAUAAUCUUUUUUCUAUUUAUAUUUCCUGGAAACAAUUUCUAACUGAAACGCGUUUAGUAAUUACAUAAAAAAAUUUAUUUUCAAAAUAAAAAAAGAAUAGAAAUGCGUUUGAUAUAAUUCACGAAAUUUUAUAUAAUGUAGAAUUUCUUUUAAUUUUUUUUUCUUAUUCUUCCUUACCAUCACCACUGUCUACCGUCACCAGUCACCGCCAAUCCCUGCCACAGAUGAUUGCCAAUGACGCCUGGGGUUGAUGGUGGCCGGCGGUGGCACUCGGUGAUGGCGGUGGGCAACAACGAUGAGCGGCGAGCUGUGGUGAUCAAUGGCGAUGAGCAAUAGGCAACAUAGUCAGCGAGCGGCGGGCGGCGACAACCAAAGGUGGCGGUCGACGGCGGCCACAAUAGUGGGCAACGGCAACGAUUGGUGGUCAAGGGCAAGUGGUAGAUUGGGGUGGUAGCCAGCAAAGAAGAAGAAAAAAAGGAAAAAGAAAAAAAAUUAUUUAUGAAAAUUGUUUUCAGGAACAAGAUACUUUUUCCUACUUAUUGUUUCUGUUCUAAAUCUAUUCCUCGUCCACUUUUAUUCCAACAAAUAAAAAAAUUAAUUAACGUUACCAAAUAGAUUUCUAUUUUUCUUUUGUUUCAAUGAAUAAAAGAAUAGAAAUUUGGAGAAACAUAAAUGUUAUGAAACAGGGCCUAAAUGUCUUUGAUGAUAUAAAAAGGUCUUUUUUCCUCUAAAAGUUAAAAAAAGUUCCUACAGUUCGGCUAGUUACUGCCUUGAAUUGCUGUUUCGUUGGUAUGAUGACAUGAAGAUUCAUCCAAUCCAAUGUUAUGGUGACUUAUGUCUCCCUAAGUGGUAACCAUAGAUACUAUUAUGACUCCCAUCUAGGAAUUCCCGAAGUUUCAAUAUGUUGAUCAUCAAACUAAAUCUUUCAUGGCAAGGGAUAAUUGCUCGGGAGAUUCUAUAUGGUUAUCAUCACAUUGAAGGGGAUCUUUAGCAAGGGAAAGAUGUGUUUUUUUUUUUUUUUUCAGUUUCUGUACAUUUCCUUUCUAAAUGUCAUAAAGAUGCAGUUCUUUUCUUAACUUUCUCGAUCCCCGGUGUUUUCCAAUUGUUAACUUUAUUCUCAUUUUGCCUGUCAUUUGUUUUGUUUCCCUUUUCUAUCACACUUUGCUAAUUGGUUGUUCAAACUUUCGGAGCACAAUGCUCCUCUCUUCAUGCAAUAAUUAGAUCUGAAGAUUAUAAAAGUUUGUGUAUUUCCAAGAUUGAUUAUCAAGUGAACUGCCCAUUUCAGGUCAUAUAAUGCAACUAUCUACAUCGGGCAGCCGUCAAAGCCUUACUUUCUUGAUCUCGACACUGGUAGUGACCUCACUUGACUCCAAUGUGAUGCCCCUUGUGUACAAUGUACCCGGGUAAAUUUUAAUAGUUUGUAGGUGUCGUAUUGACUUGUUUCUCAAACCUAUGAAUUCUGGAUGGUAAUCCUAAGACUUUGCUAUGUUUGUUUUGAAUGGUCUCAUGAUGUUAUGUGGGGCGAUAAGUCCUUAUGACUUUCCACCAUUUUAUUAUUGCAGACACCACAUCCGCUUUAUCCACCCAGCGGUGACCUAGUAGAUAGCAGUGACCCAAUUUGCACGUCCCUACAAUCCGACGACUACAAAAAAGACCGCCUGGAGCGAUGUGGCUACGGGGUUCAGUAUGCAGAUGGUGGCUCUUCUCAUGGUUUCCUUGUAAAGGAUGACGUUCAUUUCGAGUCCAACCGCGACAGGGUUCUUAGUCCUCAUGUCGCCCUCGGGUAGGUGACUUCACAUGCUCUCCCAAUUAUGCUUGGCCACGCCUACUGAUUUUACCAACUCAGCAUUUUAUGAUACCAUACUUUCUUUUGGCCAGACAGGAAAUUCUUCAUCUAUGUCAAGAGCCUGCUCAGAUCAAUUUUGCCUAUUUAACCAUUUAUCAUGUGUUGAUAGUUCCUCUACAGAAGUGGAUAUAAUCAGAUACCCGGUCAGUACCUUACUUACUUAGACGGAGUGCUCGGGUUCGGUAAGGGAAGGUCCAGCCUUGUUUCACAGCUAAGUAGUCAAGAUUUGGUGGCGAACGUACUAGGUCACUACUUGAGUACUCGUGGUGGUGGAUUUCUCUUCUUCGGUGAUGAUCUUUAUGACUCCUCUCGCAUCUCGUGGACGCCUAUGUCUCGUGAUCCGUAAAUUCUCUAUUCUUCCACUUUUUCACCAUCUCAAUAUCUCUCAUCUCUCAUUUACUAAAAUUGAACUUUGUUAUAUUUAUCUCAGAAAGCACUAUUCUCCCGGGACCGCGGACCUCCUUUUUGCGAGGAAACCUACUGGACAGAAAAAUCUGUUGCUUGUUUUCGAUAGCGGGAGCACUUAUACUUACUUCAGUUCUGAGGCAUAUCAAGCCUUAUCUUUGAGUGUGAGUUAAGAGGCAAUUGUGAACUAGUAUGUGAAAAUCUGGGAAAAAAUGCAACAUCACACUUAGCGCGCCACUAUUCACAUCCAAACAAAUCACCAUCUUUCCAGGAUUUUCAGUUGUGCUUAAGUUUUCUUGAGUACUAAUGCCUAUUAAGUUGAGAAGUAACACCUUUCAUUAAAAAUAAAAAUAAAAAUUGAGAGAUAAAACCGUAAAAAACUUAACUCUCUUCUUUCAGGUGGACGAAGAACUAUGCAGAAAGCACUUCACCGAAGCAGUAGACGACUGCACGCUCCCACUCUGCUGGAAAGGCCGGAAGCCUUUCAAAAACAUCGGCGACGUCACGAAGUACUUCAAACCCUUUGCACUCAGCUUUGCACUCAGCUUUAAUAGCGGUGGAAGAGCCCAAAACCAAUUUGAAGUUCCCCCCGAAUCAUAUUUGAUUAUAUCGGUGCGUCAAUGCCGUCAUCCAUCAAAACUCUGGCAAGUUAGAUAUGUACGUUUUUUGCUAACUGCAAUGGUUUUGACAGGACAAGGGAAAUGUCUGCAUGGGAGUUUUAAACGGAACUGAAGUAGGGUUCGAAAAUGUGAAUGUGAUUGGAGGUAAGAAUCUUCCAUAUGGUGGCAUUUUUAUCAUGGAAUUAGUUUCGCACCUGAGACAUUGUCAUGGAAAAUUUCAAAAGGAAGGAAAUCAUCAAAUAUAUGAUUAGACAACAACAAAAUGUCGUCGGAGAUCAUAUCCAUUCAGAUGCACUGCACCAUCGAGGCGAAGCAGAUUUAUUUCAUUUAAUUUUUUCUCUACCCUUGUUUGUCGGUUUUGCAGACACAUCGAUGCAGGACAAGAUGGUGAUCUACGACAACGAGAGGCAAUCGCUGGGAUGGGAUUCUAAAGGUUGCAGUCGAUUUCCAAAGUCCAGAGCAUUCGCAGCCUAAUUGACAAGAAGCUCCUCAUCGUGUCUCUGUACUUCCAGAUCAGAAUCAUGGAAGCCCUGCGCCUCAAACUAAGCCUUCGCCUAAGAAGCUUAUUAUUGCCAAGUCACUUGUAAAUAAGCCAUGACUAAUGCUUUCCUUCGUCUUACUGUGCUGGAUGUUAUGUGUACAACAAAAUUGCUUACGGGUAUAUCCCAAGCCAAUUCAAUUACAGCCACGCAUAAUAAGUACUACCAUGUUGAGAAUCAGUAGAAACCGAUCCUUAUUCACACUCCAGCUUAUUGUUCAGCCCAAUAUUCCAGAUUUAUUUACCUUCCAUUGAGUGAAACUCAAGCCUAGAGGCAUAUUCCACCACAAGAGCUGAAGAGUUUUCAAAUUGAACAAAGGCCAUAGAAUUAUUAAUCAAACCACCAAUUCAAUCAUAUGCACUAAUCCAAUUAACAUGUAUUUCUUCGAAACAUGAACCAUUCAACAUGAACCAUUUUUCUCAGUUAUAACCCCAACCGAAGAUUUUAAUGUAAUGUUAUGAUUAGAUCACAUAAGACAUCAAUCUUAUAUAUCUAUAUAUAACAAAAGGAUAGAUUCUAUAUUGCGUAUGCAUGUACCUUCGUAUGUGAACAAACUAUAACUAUCAAGUACAGAGACGGUCUAACGAAUCAUCAAAAUGUGCACUUGUAAACCACAGCCAACGCAAGGAAUAAGCAUAACGCAGAAAUUAAAGUAAAGAACCUGCUCGGAGAGAUUUCCACCCAUCAGAAGGAAUGCCAUUUCUAACUCCUUCGAAUUACCGAACGACAGGGAAAACAAGAAACGUCAUUAAAAUUCCUCCCCCCGGUGUGCAGACCCCCAUCUCGCAAGCUAUUCCAAUUCGAAAUCCGUGGCUCCCAAGCUAGACAUCAGCAUAAAUCCUCGCUGAUCAUUCGCUCCAUCAUGCAACAAACCCGCCCUUUAAUUGCCCUCGACCUGCUCUCCCUGCUGCUGGGUCUGAAUAAUCGGACAAGAACAAGGACGGGUUUGAGUUUCGCCAAGAACAUAUCAUUCUUGCUCAUUCGUCAGUCGUAAUUCAAAGAGAGAGGCGGGGAGAAUGGGGAAAGAGAAAGUGGGUCUGGUGGCGUUAGUGAUAAUUGUGUCGAGCUGGUGUGUUACCUCCUCCUCCUACUCCUCUUCUUCUUCUUUCAGAGGUGAUCUGAGCAGAGGCAAAGCGCCUUCAACUUUCGGGUCGGUAUCGUCGUCGCUGGUUCUCAACCGGGUCGGGUCAUCCGUUGUCCUUCCACUCCACGGCAAUGUUUACCCAACUGGGUACACUUCUUGACCUGUCUUCACUUCAGUUCAGCGUUUCAUUUAUCAGUCAGAGAGAAAGAGAGAGAGAGAGAGAGAGAGAGAGUGGUGAUGGACCUGCAUUUUGGCUUCUUCAAUGAAUUCUUGAAUACCCGUGUGACUCUCUUGUGCUGUUGACGUUUGGAAAGCGUGGGUCAUCUCUCACUAUCUAAAUGUCUUUGGUGAUAUGAAAAGGUCUUUUUUCCUCUAAAAGUUAAAAAAUUCCUACAGUUCGGCUAGUUACCGCGUUGGACUGCUAUUUCGUUGGUAUGAUGACCUGAAGAUUCAUCCAAUCCAAUGUCAUGGUGACUUAUGUCUCCCUAAGUGGUAACCAUAGAUACUAUUAUCACCCCCAUUUAGGAAUUCCUGAAGUUUCAAUAUGUUGAUCAUCAAACUAAAUCUUUCAUGCGAAGAGAUAAUUGCCCGGGAGAUUCUAUAUGGUUAUCAUCACAUUGAAGCGGAUCUUUCGCAAAGGAAAGUUGUGUAUUUUUCAGUUUCCAUACAUUUCCUUUCUAUAUGUCAUAGAGAUACAGUGCUUUUCUUAACUUUCUCAAUCCCCAGUGUUUCUCAAUUGUUAACUUUAUUCUCACUUUGCCUGUCAUUCGUUUUCUUGUUUCCCUUUUCUGUCACACUUUGCUAAUCGGCUGUUCAAUCUUUCAAUGCACAAUGCUCUUCGCUUUAUGCAAUAAUUAGAUCUGAAGAUUAUAAAAGCUUGUACAUUAGCAAGAUUAUCAAGUGAACUGCCCAUUUCAGGUCAUAUAAUGUAACUGUCUACAUUGGGCAACCGCCAAAGCCUUACUUUCUUGAUCCCGACACUGGUAGUGACCUCACUUGGCUCCAAUGCAACGCCCCUUGUGUACGAUGCACCCCGGUAAAUUUUAAUAGUUUUCAGGUGUCGUAUCGACUUGUUUCUCAAACCCAUGAAUUCUAGUUGAUAAUCCUAAAACUUUACUCGGAUGUUUGUUUUGAACGGUCUCAUGAUGUUAUGCGGGAUGAUAAGUCUUGAUAACUUUCCACUAUCUUCUAAUUGCAGACGCCGCAUCCGCUUUAUCCACCCAGCGACGACCUAGUAGAUAGCAGUGACCAAAUUUGUAGGUCCCUGCAACCGAGCAAUAACAAAAGUGACCGCCUCAAGCGAUGUAGCUAUGGGAUUCAGUAUGCAGAUGGUGGCUCUACUCGUGGUUUCCUUGUAAAGGAUGUCAUUGAUUUCGAUUUCAAGUCCAACCGCGGUGGGGUUCUUAGUCCUCGUGUUGCCCUCGGGUAGGUGACUUCACAUGCUCUCCCAAUUAUGUUUGGCCAGGCCUACUGAUUUUACCAACUCAACAUUUUCUGAUACCAUACUUUCUUUUGGCCAGACUGGAAAUUCUUCAUUUAUGUCACAGAAUAUUUCCUUUGCAACCAUUUCUUAUGUGGUGAUAGUUCCUCUACAGAUGUGGAUAUGAUCAGAUACCCAGUCCGUACACUCCUUGCUUCGACGGAGUGCUCGGGCUCGGUAAGGGAGAGUCCAGCAUCGUAUCACAGCUAAGUAGUCAAGGUUUGGUGGCGAACGUAGUAGGCCACUGCUUGAGUACGCGUGGUGGUGGAUUUCUCUUCUUCGGUGAUGGUCUUUAUAACUUCUCCCGCAUCACGUGGAGGCCUCUGUCUUAUAAAUCGUAAAUUCUCUGUUCUUCCACUUUUUCACCAUCUCAAUAUCUCUCAUCUCUCAUUUACUAAAAUUGAACUUUGUUAUAUUUGUCUCAGAAAGCGCUAUUCUCCUGUUGGGACCGCGGAGCUCUUUUUUGCGGGGAAACCUACUGGACAGAAAAAUCUGAAGCUUCUUUUCGAUAGCGGGAGCACUUAUACUUACUUCAGUUCUAAGGCAUAUGAAGCCUUAUCUUCUAGGGUGAGUUAGAGGCAAUUGUGAACUAGUAUGUGAAAAUCUGGGACAAUAUGCAACAUCACACUUAGUGUGUCACAUUCACAUCCAUACAUAUCACCGUCUUUACAGGAUUUUUAGUUGGGCUCGAGUUUUCUUGAGUACUAAUGCCUAUUAAGUUUGAGGAGUAACACCUUUCGUCGAAAAAAAAAAAACAGAAGAAAAAAUUGAGAGAUGACACCAUAAAAACUUCUCUCUUCUUUCAGGUGAAGAAUGAACUAAUCGGAAAGCCCUUCACCGAAAUACGCGACCCCGACCUCCCACUCUGCUGGAAAUGCCGGAAGUCUUUCAAAGACAUCCGCGAUGUCACGAAGUACUUCAAACCCUUUGCACUCACCUUUAAUAGAGGUGAAAGUACUGAAAGCCAAUUUGAAGUUCCCCCCGAAUCAUAUCUGAUUAGAUCGGUGAGUGAAUGCCUUCAUCUAUCGAAACUCUGGCAAGUCAGAUAUGUACGUUUUUUGUUAACUGCAAUGGUUUUGACAGGUCAUGGGAAAUGUCUGCAUGGGAGUAUUAAAUGGAACUCAAGCAGGGCUCAAAGAUAGGAAUUUGAUUGGAGGUAAGAGUCUUCCAUAUGGUGGCAUUUUUAUCACGGAAUUAGUUUCGCACCUGAGACAUUGUCAUUGAAAAUUUGAAAAGGAAGGAAAUCAUCAAAGAUAUGAUUAGACAACAAUAAAAUGUCCUCGGAGAUCAUAUCCAUUCAGAUCUACUGCACUAUUGCGGCGAAGCAGAUUUAUUUCAUAUAAUUUUGUAUCUGCCCUUGUUUGUCGGUUUUGCAGACACAUCGAUGCUGGACAAGAUGGUGAUCUACGACAAUGCUAACCAUUUUCUGGGAUGGGCUUCUGAAGAUUGCAGUCAGCUUCCAAAGUCCAGAGCAUUUGCAGCCUAAUUGACAAGAAGCUCCUCAUCGUAUCUCUGUACUUCCAGAUUAGAAUCAUGGAAAUGCUGGGCUUCAAAUCAAGCCUUCUCCUAAGAAGCUUAUCAUAGCUAAGUCACUUGUAAAAUAAGCCAUGACUAAUGUUUUUUCCUUUGUCUUACUAGACUGGAUGUUAUGUGUACAAUAAAAUUGCUUAUGGGUACACCCAAAGCCAAUUCAAUUACAGCCACGCUAAUAAGUAUUGUCAUGUUGAGGAUCAGUAGAAACCACACACUCCAGCGUCUUGUUCAGCUCAGUAUUCCAGAUUUUAGUUACCUUGUUGACACCUAAAUUUCACAUAAAUUAAUUAAUUUAAAGUAGUGUUAAAGGUUAGGAAUUAGUCACAAAAAACAGGUUAUUAUUAAAAAAAAAAAAGAGUUAAAAAAAUUUCGAAAAAAAAAUCGAAAAAAAAAAAACAAACGAAAAUGGUCGGGUCGGGCCGGAUUCGACCUUGGCCCGACCCGCCCCUCUCUUUUCUUCCCCUCGCACUGGGCCUGGCCCAAUCUCCUUUCUCUUUCGACCUCGGCCCAGCCCCUCCUUCCCUUCUGCUGGUCUUCGCUCGAAGACUUGCAGGAGACCGAGCAGCAGGAGAGCAGUGAAAACAGGGGCAGCAGAGGAUCGGUGGCAGGCGAGCGGCGUGAUCCGCGGGUCGGGGGGUGCAGUCCGGCCGGCAAGCUGGCAGUUGCAGAGGCCAUGCGCGCUUGCUGGCCGAGGAUAAAACCGGAGGGGAUCGGAACCAAAAAAAAAGGGAGGAAGCUGAGAGCGAGCGAGAGAGGAACACGGAGGGAAAGAGAGGCUGAACCAGAGGCAGGAAGCUCGAGGGAGCAGCCCGUCGUCACCAGAAGUUCGUUCGCCAGCCGUUAUCCGCCGUAGCCCAUCACCGGACGAGGUAGGUCUCCUGAACCCCGCGGUCUCGUUCCCGGAAAACGCUGGGCCGGAGCUCACGGUCGACCGGUUCGCGUGAGCUCCGGUCCACGUCGCCUUUGCACUUUGCUCCCAUGUCCUCCUACGUUAUAUGUUGAGACCCCUAAAGCGUGUUCGGCGUUCGGUUGAGCCGAAAUCCUUCGAGUUCGGUAGUGCAAACCAGGUGUUCGACAAAAUUCCUCAAAGAAAACCGAGGAGUAGCUCGCGUUUUAACGCCGGACCCAUUCAUUUUCCCCCUCAUGCUUGCUGAAUCCUUGUUGCUUUGCCCUGAUUUGUUGUGUUUUCGGACGGUUUGCGCGAGAUAUUGGCAUGUAGUUGGACCGAGGACUCGUUUCGUCGGAAAUAGAUUAGGGGUUGCCGGAAUAGGUAAUCGGCGACGGUCGAGGGGGACGACCGGUGAGCGGCAGUGGUCCGGCGACUUCCUUAGGGCGGUCAGAACUCGUGGUGUUGUCGACGUCGGACCGGCGGAGGAGCUGCAGAAGCUUCGGCAUGUCGCGGCUGCGGGAGGGGAGACCCCGAAGAAGACGAUCAAAAAGGGAGUAAAAAAAAAAGAGCACAAAAAGAUUAAAAAAUAGGAAAAGAGGAAUGGGCUUCGUUUUGGGCCGUUUUAGUGCAUAGGGCUUGUGGACUUCGUUUUAAAACCAAAAAAGAAACUUAGACUAGGUUGGGCCUGCUGGUUAGGCCCAAUUCGAAUUUAAUUGAAGGCCUGAUUGGGCCUUGCUCUUUUCCGAGCGGGCCAAUCAACCCGUCCCCCAGCCGGACCCGACUCUGCUGACCGGGCUGAACCGGGUCGGAUUAGACCGGAUCCGACCCGGUUCGAUCCCAAAAUUUUAUUAUUAAAAAAAAAUCGAAAAUCCAAAAAAAUAAUGUUAAAAAAAUUAAAUUUUUAAUUUUUAAUUAAAAAAUUUCGAAAAAUCCAAAAUUGUUUGUGUUGGUUGGAAAUUGCUUUGUAUUUCCAUUUUAAGCGUAAUUAUGCAUUUAUUUUGAUUACAUCGCAUGUUUAGAUUGCAUAUCUUGUUAUGUUUAAUGGUAUGUGUAUAGUCUUAUGGUAAUUAUGUCAUUGUUAGCUAUGAUUAUUGGGUUUAAUGAUUGCGCAUCCGCAUGAUUACCUCAUAUGUUAGUGGAUAGUUAUAAAAUCAAUCUAAACUGUUGACAAAAAUCAUUUUGUUAAAAUGAACAAAAUUAUGUACCGAAAUGGCACUAAUUGGUUAAUUAGUGUAACCAAAUCCCCGACCCUAAAUUUUUUGAUUGCAUAGGAAGUGAGAUACACUCCCAUGCUUCACUUGAUUUCUAGCCGACCCUAAUAGGUUAAUAGCGAAUCAUUUUUUUGUGAAAAUCUUUAAAAAUAUGCCAAUGUCACGCGGGGUAUGGACUUGGGAGAGCUCGCAUCUAAUCAUGGACUUUAGGUCCGUCCUUUAGGCAAUACCCCUAAGCCUAUUCCCUCCCCCCAAGGGUAGGUCGCGACAUACCUUUAGUUGAGUGAAACUCAAGCCUAGAGGCAUAUUCCACCACAAGAGUCAAAGAGUUUUCAAGUUGAAUUGAAAAACUGGAAAGGACACCAUCGCUUGUCAAAAACAAGAGACGAGUUGGAUAUUCGUCAUAGGAAAUGAGAUACAUUCUUCGCUUUUUACUAGCAGUUGUUUCUUAAUGCACCAACCGUUGUCUAUGCUUACUCAUUCUUUUAUAAAUACUGAACACUUUGUUCCUUCUUUGAUGUGUUCAAUUCUAUGCACUUCAAUAUCUUCACGCAAAAACACUAUCGUUACGUUUGGUCGUCUAAAUUUCUAACUAUGACAUAACUAAGUAUGAUAUGAUAUGAAAUCUAGAGAAUUUUGCUAUAUUUUAUUCACUGUUUGGUGAUUGUAAUAAUAAAGUCCGAUAUAUUUACAUCAUAUUAUAUAUAUUGUUUGGUAUAAACGUCUAUAUGAAUCACAAAUUUUACAAACAAAUAUGGUAAAAAUAUUUCAGGACACUCUUGUCUAAUUUAUUUUUAUUUCCUUUUUUAUUUUAUUUUCCUCUAUUUUUAAUUAAUUUAUUUUCAUUUAUUUCUUCUAUUUCUUUCAUUCUCUAAUAAAAUUUUAUUAAAUAGAAAAUUGUACUAAUAUACCUAAAAUACUAAAAUACAUAAAAUAUGUAAUAAAUAUAUAUUUAUAUAUUGAAUGUAUAUAAUAAGACAUAAUUAAAUUCGAAUAUAUAAAUACAAAUAAGAUUAAAUUUAAAACUAGAGUUUUAUUUUUUGUUAUUUUGAAUUUCUUAUAUUAGAAUUCAAAUAUUAUUUACAUUGAAAUAUAAUUUUAAUUUGUUAAUUUAAGAAAUUUGUUAUUUGAGAAAAAAAAAACUUAUUAAAAAUUCUAUUUGUCUUUAUCUCACUUUCCUCAUAAAAUAAUUUUAUCUAGUUUAUAUUUUUUUUUAUACUUGAUUUUAUUCUAUCUUGAGUAGACACCAUAUGCAAAAUAUAAUAAAUUUUAUCAUAUUUUGAAUUUUAUUCUGAUCGUCACACAACCUAUCUUUCUCCAAUUAUUGAUAUCAAAUUUCAUGCUAUUCCUACUCUACCUAAAUAACAAGAUGCGCACUGUUUUGAAGGUAUAGUAAAUCUCGGAAGAUAGUCUCGGCACACCUUCUACACCUUAUGAGUGAUAGAAAUAGUCAAUUAGAAUUAGUUUUCGCAUGCAUAAAAAAUUUGAAAUAUUUGUAUUUAUGUACGAUGGCUGCCCAGAUUUUACAGCAAAUCUCUCAUUAUUCUGAAUCGAUGCCUAUGUAGAGCUAUUCACAUCACUAAACUAAAUUUUAUCAGGCUCAUAAAAAAUGAACCUUUAUUUCCUCAUAAGUUUUCGCUUUUGCCCUUUUUCCAACCCCAAAAAAUGGGUUGUCCUUUUUGAGGAAAGUUCCUCGAAAUUCCCAGAUUGACUCAUUGCUGGGUCCCACUUCAGAUUUCUUUCGUCCACCUUGACAAAAAUAAAUAAAACGAAAAAAGGAAAAAAGAAAAAAAGGGUCAAAACCUUCCUCAUCUUUUUGAUCAUCAUCGUACCUCAAUCAUCAAGAAGACAGAAUCCUUUCUGGGGCAGAUAACGAGACUAACGACCCCAGUUUGCCAACGCAAGGAAUAAGCAUAACCCAGAAAUUAAAGAAAAGAACCUGGUCGAAGAUUUCCACCCAUUAGAAGGAAUACCAUUUCUAACCCCUUCGAAUUACCAAAACGACAGGGAACACAAGAGACGUCAUUUAAAUUCCUCCCCCCCGACCUGCAGACCCCCAUCUCCCAAGCUAUUCCAAUUCGAAAUCCGUGGCUCCCAAGCUAGACAUCAGCAUAAAUCCUCGCCAAUCAUUCGCUCCAUCAUGCAAGAAACCGGCCCUAUAAUUGCCCUCGACCUGGUCUUUCUGCUGCCGUGUCUGAAUAAUCGGACAAGAACAGGGACGGGUUCGAGUUUCGCCAAGGACAUAUCGUUCUUGUCCAUUUGUCAGUUGUAACACAGAGAGAGGGAGAGAGGCAGGAAGAAUGGGGAAAGAGAGAGUGGGUUUGGUCGCGUUGCUGAUAAUUGUGUCGAGCUGGUGUGUAUCGUCGUCCUCCUACCACUCUUCUUCUUCUUCUUCUUUCAGAGGUGAUCUGAGCAGAGGCAAGGCGCCUUUCACUUUCGGGUCGGCGUCGUCGUCGCUAGUUCUCAAUCAGGUCGGGUCAUCCGUUGUCUUUCCACUCCACGGCAAUGUUUUCCCAACUGGGUACACUUCUUGACCUGUCUUCAGUUCAGUUCGGCGAAUCAUUUAUUAGUCAGAGAGAGAGAGAGAGAGAGAGAGAGAGAGAGAGAGAGAGGGGUGAUGCACCUGCAUUUUUGCUCCUUCAAUGAAUUCUUGAAUGCCUGGGUGACUCUCUGCUGUGCCGUUCGCGUUUAGAAAGCAUGGGUCAUCUCUCACAUCUAACUGUCUUUGGUGAUAUGAAAAGGUCUUUUUUCCUCCAAAAGUUCAAAAAGUUCUACAGUUUGGCUAGUUACAUCGUUGGAUUGCUGUUUGAUGACCUGAAGAUUCAUCCAAUCCAAUGUCAUAGUGACUUAUGUCUCCCUAAGUGGUAACCAUAGAUACUAUUAUCACCCACUUAAGAAUUCCUGAAGUUUCAGUACGUUGAUCAUCAGAUUAAAUCUUUCAUGCCAAGGGAAAAUUGCUGGGAAGAUUCUAUACGGUUUUCAUCACAUUAAAGCUUAUCUUUCUCAAGAGAAAGUUGUGUUUCUUCAGUUUCCAUACAUUUUUAUUCUAUAUGUCAUAACGAUGCAGUGCUUUUCUACUCUUUCUUGAUUGCUGGGUGUUUCUCAAUUGUUACCUUCAUUCUCACUUUGCUUGUCAUUCAUUCUGUGUCCCUUUUCUGUCACACAUUGCUAAUUGACUGUUCAAUCUUUUGAAGCAUAAUGCUCCUCUCUUCAUCCAAUAAUCAGAUCUGAAUAUUAUAAAAGCUUGUGGAUUUGCCAGGACUGAUGAUCAAGUGAACUGCCUAUUUCAGGUCAUAUAACACAACUCUCUUCAUUGGGCAGCCACCAAAGCCUUACUUUCUUGAUCCCGACACUGGUAGUGACCUCACAUGGCUCCAAUGUGAUGCCCCUUGUGUACGAUGCACCCAG
rnacentral:lncRNA from 1 species